CGUUAUCUCACAACGAUGUCCUCACAUCCCACACGAGCAGAAGAUUAGCAUGGUCCCUGUGCAAGGAUGACACGCAAAAUCGAAGAGAAGCAAAACUUUUUU